UGGGGAAUAUUGGACAAUGGGCGAAAGCCUGAUCCAGCCAUGCCGCGUGUGUGAAGAAGGUCUUCGGAUUGUAAAGCACUUUAAGUUGGGAGGAAGGGCAUUAACCUAAUACGUUAGUGUUUUGACGUUACCGACAGAAUAAGCACCGGCUAACUCUGUGCCAGCAGCCGCGGUAAUACAGAGGGGGCAAGCGUUAAACGGAAUUACUGGGCGUAAAGCGCGCGUAGGUGGUUUGUUAAGUUGGAUGUGAAAUCCCCGGGCUCAACCUGGGAACUGCAUUCAAAACUGACUGACUAGAGUAUGGUAGAGGGUGGUGGAAUUUCCUGUGUAGCGGUGAAAUGCGUAGAUAUAGGAAGGAACACCAGUGGCGAAGGCGACCACCUGGACUAAUACUGACACUGAGGUGCGAAAGCGUGGGGAGCAAACA
rnacentral:rRNA from 1 species